UACCCUACGGGAGGCAGCAGUGAGGAAUAUUGGUCAAUGGACGAGAGUCUGAACCAGCGACGCCGCGUGAAGGAAGAAGGCUUUCGGGUUGUAAACUUCUUUUCUCAGGGACGAAGCAAGUGACGGUACCUGAGGAAUAAGCCACGGCUAACUACGUGCCAGCAGCCGCGGUAAUACGUAGGUGGCAAGCGUUAUCCGGAUUUACUGGGUGUAAAGGGCGUGUAGGCGGGGACGCAAGUCAGAUGUGAAAACCAUGGGCUCAACCUGUGGCCUGCAUUUGAAACUGUGUUUCUUGAGUACUGGAG
rnacentral:rRNA from 1 species